rnacentral:rRNA from 1 species
AUUGAACGCUGGCGGCAGGCCUAACACAUGCAAGUCGAGCGAGCGGCGGACGGGUGAGUAAUGUCUGGGAAACUGCCUGAUGGAGGGGGAUAACUACUGGAAACGGUAGCUAAUACCGCAUACCAUCAGAUGUGCCCAGAUGGGAUUAGCUAGUAGGUGGGGUAACGGCUCACCUAGGCGACGAUCCCUAGCUGGUCUGAGAGGAGGACCAGGCACACUGGCACGUAGACACGGUCCAUCCUCCUACGUGAGUCAGCAUGGGGGAAUAUUGCACAAUGGGCGCAAGCCUGAUGCAGCCAUGCCGCUUGUAUGAAGAAGGCCUUCGGGUUGUAAAGUACUUUCAGCGGGGAGGCGUUACCCGCAGAAGAAGCACCGGCUAACUCCGUGCCAGCCGCCGCGGUAAUAC